rnacentral:lncRNA from 1 species
CAGGCCUGUUUUUCCAGCUUCUAGUUUGAGAUUCGUUCCUCCCACAUUUUGACAUCUGCUGUCAAUCAUGUAAAGGAAACACCAACCUAUUUCUUGGGACCAAAUGUCGUAGGCUUCUUUGGUUCAGAGAAAUUGUAAAGCGCAAGACGAAUUCAGUGUAGCCUCCCAAAGGACUGCUCAAAGAUCUCCAGGCAGAUAAGCCAAGCAGGAGAGUAUCAGUGGAAAUCAGUAUUUUCGUCAGGAAUCUCCCAAAAAACAGAACCAAGAGGCUGAGAAGUCUUAAGAUCUUCAGUGAGCAAACUGGAGACCCAGGAGAGCGGAUGGUAUAAGUUCCAGUCCGAAAUCCAGCAGGCUUGAGACCCAAGAGGAGCCAGUUUUUCAGUUUGAGUCCAAAGGCAGAAAGACUAAUGCUGCAGCUUAAGCAGUCAGAUAGGAUGACUUCCCUCUUACUUAGCCUUUUUUUUUCUGUUCAAGUCUUCAGUUGAUUGAACGAGGCCCACCCAUAUUAAGGAGGGUCUUCUGCUUAACUCAGUCUAUUGAUUCAAAUGUUAAUCUCAUCCAAAACACCCUCACAGACAUAUCAGAAAUAAUGUUUGACCAAAAGUCUAGAUGUCUUGUGGCCCAGUCAAGUUGAUAUGUAAAAUUAACCAUCAUGCCAAAUUUUUGCCUCAACUCAUCUUUUAAACUUUGUAUUUAUUUCUUUUGCAAUCACAUUUUUUUCUCUGAACGUCCUUUAUAGAGGUAGAACAAUGCCAUUCUUUCAUCAAUGAAGUAUAUUCUCUUAACUCUGUGAGAAUUUUAAUUAUUUAUUUUUUAAUUUUUCGUCUGCUUUCU